CUUGUUUGAUUUCUGUAAAAGAGGGUCCAGCGGUUUGCAUUGCAUUUCGCGACUCAUCAUCACGAGGGAGAAACGAGUUAAGUUGCGCCUUCAAACCAAUAGCUAAACAGGAUACUCGCCCAAGGAAAUUGACGAGCAGCAGCAACUGUCACUAGAAGAAGAUCCGUUUCUUGCAUUCGUCGAUUAUGCAAGGUCUGUGCUAGGGGAAGGAUAAGGAGGUUAAGAUACGAAUAGUCAAGGAAACAGAAAACGGUCGGUUCAGCUGGAGCUGGAUCGCGUUCGGAUCCUCAAGACUCUUGUCGCUUAUUAUUCAAGCGAAUGACUGCGGCUAUUCUGCACACUGCACUCUGAUUUCUCUCAGUGGAGGCGUGGAGUGAAAUGCACACAAGCAGGGCAUCAAAGGGAAGGCCAAAAAUCAUCAAUCUGUUGAAGAAGCCAAAAACUAUCACAAUUGGCUUUAUAUAUGUGAGAAGAACUUGCUGUCCUUGAAUAGCAUUUUGGAAGUUUUUAUUGUGAUCUUCGAUGCUUUUGUUCUCCCAGGUACAAACAUCUAUACACUUACUUUGGGGGAUUUCUGGAGCUCAAACACCAUUGACCUUAUGUCCACCGAAGGUUAGUACCAUAUUCUGUACUGGUCAUUGGACAUUGAUGGUUCAUAUUUCUUCAUCUUUUUUAAUUUCACAGGCAUUCAUCUGUUUUAAUAUUCUUCUUUGCUUUUGCGGAUUUUCUUGUUUUUCAUUAAAAUCAUUAUAUUUUGUAUAUUACGAUGGUAAAUGUGGAAAUUAGAAUUUGUUUCUAAGUUGCAUUUGGAUCUUCGUACAUU
rnacentral:misc_RNA from 1 species